GGAGUAAAUUCUACCAUUUUUUCUUUAUAAAAACAACUUCCAAUCUAACACACGUGGAAAAAGAAAAUUCAAAAAUAUAUAGAAAAAUGCGUUUAACAAAAGCCAGCUAAAUUUCUUUAGAAUAAAAAACACCACGUGUUUUUUGAGCUGAACAAAUAAUGAAAAUGGCGUCCUAUGGAGACUGAAAAUCUUUCAAGGAUAGAUUUCUUAUUUAAAAGGAUAUCCAUUCUCCACAAGAUGUCUGUUACAAAAAGUUAAUACAUUGAAACUCGCAGAGUUUUUGAACUGAAUUGUUGCAUUUUGUGGAGAAACAUCCAGAAGCAAAAUAGCCCCUCCAAGAUAAUAUUUUUAAUGGGGAAGACAGUUGGCAUGUCAUUCCAAAGAAACCAUGAGAAUUAUUGCGGCAUAAUAAAGAUGUAAAAGUUUAAAGAAAAUAAAAUGUAUUUAUUACAAAAAAAAAA